rnacentral:rRNA from 1 species
AGAAACUAACAAGGAUUCCCCUAGUAACUGCGAGUGAAGCGGGAAAAGCUCAAAUUUAAAAUCUGGUAGUCUCUGGCUGCCCGAGUUGUAAUCUAGAGAAGUGUUAUCCGCGCUGGACCGUGUACAAGUCUCCUGGAAUGGAGCGUCAUAGAGGGUGAGAAUCCCGUCUUUGACACGGACUACCAGGGCUUUGUGAUGCGCUCUCAAAGAGUCGAGUUGUUUGGGAAUGCAGCUCUAAAUGGGUGGUAAAUUCCAUCUAAAGCUAAAUAUUGGCGAGAGACCGAUAGCGAACAAGUACCGUGAGGGAAAGAUGAAAAGAACUUUGGAAAGAGAGUUAAACAGUACGUGAAAUUGUUGAAAGGGAAACGCUUGAAGUCAGUCACGUUGGCUGGGAAUCAGCCUUGCUUUUGCUUGGUGUACUUCCUUGUUGACGGGUCAGCAUCAAUUUUGACCGGUGGAAAAAGGCUAGUGGAAUGUGGCAUCUUCGGAUGUGUUAUAGCUGCUAGUUGUAUACAUCGGUUGGGAUUGAGGAACUCAGCACGCCGAAAGGUCGGGGUUUUGCCCACGUUCGUGCUUAGGAUGCUGGCAUAAUGGCUUUAAUCGACCCGUCUUGAAACACGGACCAAGGAGUCUAACAUGCCUGCGAGUGUUUGGGUGGAAAACCCGAGCGCGUAAUGAAAGUGAAAGUUGAGAUCCCUGUCGUGGGGAGCAUCGACGCCCGGACCAGACCUUCUGUGACGGAUCCGCGGUAGAGCAUGUAUGUUGGGACCCGAAAGAUGGUGAACUAUGCCUGAAUAGGGUGAAGCCAGAGGAAACUCUGGUGGAGGCUCGUAGCGAUUCUGACGUGCAAAUCGAUCGUCAAAUUUGGGUAUAGGGGCGAAAGA